rnacentral:rRNA from 1 species
AUGAUCUUCCCUCCUGCCUUCCUAGAUUCAUCAAGCUGCUGGAACAUGAACCACGACCAGCUGCAGCAAAUCGGCCGCGGCCAGGGCAACAACACUCAUAUCACUACUGUUCCUUCACCUGCUGGUCAUGGUGAUGGAGGAGGCAACAACAACAAUCUGGAAGGAUUAAUGGCCGCGGCCAGGGCCGGAGGAGGUGGUGGUGAUGGUGGUGGCGGCAGCGGCGGUUCUGGAGAUGGUGAUGGUAACGGCGGUAGGGAUAGUAAGCAGAUGUCGAUGUCCGAGCGGGCGCGGCUGGCGCGGGUGCCGCAGCCACAGUCGCGGCUCAACUGCCCGCGCUGCGACUCCACCAAUACCAAGUUCUGCUACUUCAACAACUACUCGCUCACCCAGCCCCGCCACUUCUGUCGUGCAUGCCGCCGCUACUGGACCCGCGUGGCGCGCUCCGCAAUGUCCCCGUCGGCGGCAGGUACCGCCGGCAUGCCAAGCGCAGCGCCAAGCCCAAGGUUGCGUCGACCGCCACCACCUUGUCGCCCGCUCUCCAGUACUCCAUGUUCGGCAGCGCGCCCCAGCAAGGCCUGUUAA